ACGGCUCAGUAACACGUGGAUAACCUGCCCUAUGGUGGAGAAUAACCCCGGGAAACUGGGGAUAAUACUCCAUAGAUUAGAGAUACUGGAAUGUUCUUUAAUCGAAAGUUGAGGCGCCAUAGGAUGGAUCUGCGGUCGAUUAGGUUGUUGUUGGGGUAACGGCCCAACAAGCCUGUAAUCGAUACGGGUUGUGGGAGCAAGAGCCCGGAGAUGGAAUCUGAGACACGAUUCCAGGCCCUACGGGGCGCAGCAGGCGCGAAAACUUUACAAUGCAGGAAACUGUGAUAAGGGAACCCCGAGUGCCCGUAUACGCGGGCUGUCCAGGUGUCUAAAAGCAUCUGAAGAAAGGGCCGGGCAAGACCGGUGCCAGCCGCCGCGGUAAUACCGGCGGCUCGAGUGGUGGCCACUAUUAUUGGGCUUAAAGCGUCCGUAGCUGGACUCUUAAGUCUCUUGGGAAAUCCGCCGGCUUAACCGACGGGCGUCUAAGAGAUACUGAGAGUCUAGGGACCGGGAGAGGUGAGAGGUACUCCGGGGGUAGGAGUGAAAUCCUGUAAUCCCUGGGGGACCACCGAUGGCGAAGGCAUCUCACCAGAACGGCUCCGACAGUGAGGGACGAAAGCUGGGGGAGCGAACCGGAUUAGAUACCCGGGUAGUCCCAGCCGUAAACUAUGCGCGUUAGGUGUACUGGUGACCACGAGUCACUGGGGUGCCGAAGGGAAACCGUGAAACGUGCCGCCUGGGAAGUACGGUCGCAAGGCUGAAACUUAAAGGAAUUGGCGGGGGAGCAC
rnacentral:rRNA from 1 species